GACGUAGGGCGCGAGCGUUGUCCGGAUUUAUUGGGCGUAAAGAGCUCGUAGGCGGCUUGUCGCGUCGACCGUGAAAACUUGGGGCUCAACCCCAAGCCUGCGGUCGAUACGGGCAGGCUAGAGUUCGGUAGGGGAGACUGGAAUUCCUGGUGUAGCGGUGAAAUGCGCAGAUAUCAGGAGGAACACCGGUGGCGAAGGCGGGUCUCUGGGCCGAUACUGACGCUGAGGAGCGAAAGCAUGGGUAGCGAACAGG
rnacentral:rRNA from 1 species